rnacentral:rRNA from 1 species
UGGGCAUACGGCAGCUAUACAUGCAAGUCGAGCGGACAGAAGGGAGCUUGCUCCCGGAUGUUAGCGGCGGACGGGUGAGUAACACGUGGGUAACCUGCCUGUAAGACUGGGAUAACUCCGGGAAACCGGAGCUAAUACCGGAUAGUUCCUUGAACCGCAUGGUUCAAGGAUGAAAGACGGUUUCGGCUGUCACUUACAGAUGGACCCGCGGCGCAUUAGCUAGUUGGUGGGGUAAUGGCUCACCAAGGCGACGAUGCGUAGCCGACCUGAGAGGGUGAUCGGCCACACUGGGACUGAGACACGGCCCAGACUCCUACGGGAGGCAGCAGUAGGGAAUCUUCCGCAAUGGACGAAAGUCUGACGGAGCAACGCCGCGUGAGUGAUGAAGGUUUUCGGAUCGUAAAGCUCUGUUGUUAGGGAAGAACAAGUGCGAGAGUAACUGCUCGCACCUUGACGGUACCUAACCAGAAAGCCACGGCUAACUACGUGCCAGCAGCCGCGGUAAUACGUAGGUGGCAAGCGUUGUCCGGAAUUAUUGGGCGUAAAGGGCUCGCAGGCGGUUUCUUAAGUCUGAUGUGAAAGCCCCCGGCUCAACCGGGGAGGGUCAUUGGAAACUGGGAAACUUGAGUGCAGAAGAGGAGAGUGGAAUUCCACGUGUAGCGGUGAAAUGCGUAGAGAUGUGGAGGAACACCAGUGGCGAAGGCGACUCUCUGGUCUGUAACUGACGCUGAGGAGCGAAAGCGUGGGGAGCGAACAGGAUUAGAUACCUGGUAGUCCACGCCGUAAACGAUGAGUGCUAAGUGUUAGGGGGUUUCCGCCCCUUAGUGCUGCAGCUAACGCAUUAAGCACUCCGCCUGGGGAGUACGGUCGCAAGACUGAAACUCAAAGGAAUUGACGGGGGCCCGCACAAGCGGUGGAGCAUGUGGUUUAAUUCGAAGCAACGCGAAGAACCUUACCAGGUCUUGACAUCCUCUGACAACCCUAGAGAUAGGGCUUUCCCUUCGGGGACAGAGUGACAGGUGGUGCAUGGUUGUCGUCAGCUCGUGUCGUGAGAUGUUGGGUUAAGUCCCGCAACGAGCGCAACCCUUGAUCUUAGUUGCCAGCAUUCAGUUGGGCACUCUAAGGUGACUGCCGGUGACAAACCGGAGGAAGGUGGGGAUGACGUCAAAUCAUCAUGCCCCUUAUGACCUGGGCUACACACGUGCUACAAUGGACAGAACAAAGGGCUGCAAGACCGCAAGGUUUAGCCAAUCCCAUAAAUCUGUUCUCAGUUCGGAUCGCAGUCUGCAACUCGACUGCGUGAAGCUGGAAUCGCUAGUAAUCGCGGAUCAGCAUGCCGCGGUGAAUACGUUCCCGGGCCUUGUACACACCGCCCGUCACACCACGAGAGUUUGCAACACCCGAAGUCGGUGAGGUAACCUUUAUGGAGCCAGCCGCCGAAGGUGGGGCAGAUGAUUGGGGUGAAGUCGUACAAGAGGCUUGGCG